GAUGAACGCUGGCGGCGUGCCUAAUACAUGCAAGUCGAGCGAACAGACGAGGAGCUUGCUCCUCUGACGUUAGCGGCGGACGGGUGAGUAACACGUGGAUAACCUACCUAUAAGACUGGGAUAACUUCGGGAAACCGGAGCUAAUACCGGAUAACAUUUUGAACCGCAUGGUUUAACAGUGAAAGACGGUCUUGCUGUCACUUAUAGAUGGAUCCGCGCCGCAUUAGCUAGUUGGUAAGGUAACGGCUUACCAAGGCAACGAUGCGUAGCCGACCUGAGAGGGUGAUCGGCCACACGGGAACGGAGACACGGCCCAGACUCCUACGGGAGGCAGAAGUAGGGAAUCUUCCGAAAGGGGCGAAAGCCUGACGGAGCAACGCCGCGUGAGGGAAGAAGGUCUUCGGAUCGUAAAACUUUGUUAUUGGGGAAAAACAAAGGUGUAAGUAACUUUGCACGUCUUGACGGUACCUAAUCAGAAAGCCAGGGCUAACUACGUG
rnacentral:rRNA from 1 species